ensembl:lncRNA
AUUUGAGUACUUCUAGUUCAGUACAUGUCUCAAGUUACAUAAAAGUGAGUUACUUGGGUCUGAUUUUUCCUUGUAUCACCUCAGUUCAGUUCAGUUCAGUCGCUCAGUUGUGUCCAACUCUCUGCAACCCCAUGGACUACAGCACGCCAGGCCUCCCUUUCCAUCACCAACUCCGGAGUUUACUCAAACUCAGAUCCAUUGAGUUGGUGAUAACCAUCCAACCAUCUCAUCCUCUGUCCUCUUCUCCCACCUUCAAUCUUUCCCAACAUUAGGGUCUUUUCCGAUGAGUCAGUUCUUUGCAUCAGGUGGCCAAAGUAUUAAGAGUUUCAGCUUACUUAGCAAAUUCCCUGUGUCGUUAAUUUAUUGAAUAGUCAACAUUGGUAUACUUAUCAGGACUUUUGAUUGUAAAAGGGAAAACUCAAGCUUUUUUUUUUACUUAAGUAAAAUAUGUUAAAUAGUAAUUCCAGGGAUAAACUGUAUUAAGCACAUUUGGAUCCAGAAAUCCAAAUACUAUAAGGAUACACUUAUCUCCGUUCACUCCCUUUUUUUGUAUUAGCAUUAGUCUUUCUUAUCAGACUCGUUGUCUCAUGUUAGAUGGGUCAGGAAAGAUGACCUCAGCUUUUAUAGCUCACAGAAGAAAUGUUACCUUAAGCCCCCAAGACAUUUGUUAGAGAAAAUCCUAGUUGGCCAGUACCUUGGUCGUGUUUCAUGCUACUUAGAAUGGAUUUCCCAAUAGAAUUUGGUUUCCAGAAGAGAGAAAAGUGAAAGUCGUUCAGUCGUGUCCGACUCUUUGCAACCCCGAAAGACAAUACAGUCCAUGGAAUUCUCCAGGCCAGAAUACAGGAGUGAGUAGCCAUUCCCUUCUCCAGGGGAUCUUCCCAACCCAGGGAUCGAACCCAGGUCUCUACCGCAUUGCAGGCGGAUUCUUAACCAGCUGAGCCACAGGGGAAGAUCACUAUAUUUUUACUGUUCAAGUGUUGUCCAAACCAGCAGUAAUGGCAUCAUCUGAGAAGAGGACGAUAUCAAGAUCUAUCUCAGAAUAUUGACCCAAAACACCUGUUGACAUGAUUCCCAGGAAAACAACCAGAAGAUGUUAAGCCCAUGCACCACAACUAUUGAGCCUGGGUUCUAGAGCCCACAAGCCACAGCUCCUGAAGCCUGCACACUCUAGAGCCCGUGCACUACAACAAGAGAAGCCACUGCAAGAGAGCAGCCACUGCUCGCCACAACUAGAG